CUUUACGACCACACCGGCCUGAGUACGCCUGAUCUCGUCUGAUCUGGAAGCUAAGCAGGGUCGGGCCUGGUUAGUACUUGGAUGGGAGACUUCCCUGGGAAUACCAGGUGCUGUAAGCU
ensembl:rRNA 5S_rRNA 5S ribosomal RNA